GUGCUCGCUUUGGCAGUACAUAUGCUAAAAUGGGAACAAUACAGAGAAGCUCGUCAUGGCCCUGCACAGGGAUGACAUGCAAAUUCGUGAAACGUUUCUUAUUUUU
ensembl:snRNA U6 U6 spliceosomal RNA